UCCGCAGCGCAUGUUUCAGCACCACGGAAUAGAAGCCGAGGCCCUUCAACCGCGCGGUGCGGAUGUAUUGCUCCUGCAUCACUUCGGCCAUGGAGGCGCGGGUCAUGCGGGCGAUGUAGCCCAUGCCGUAUAGCGCCAGCGCGAUCACCGGCAGGGUGAAGUUGGAGAACGUUGCGUUC
rnacentral:ncRNA from 1 species